rnacentral:rRNA from 1 species
GAUCAUGGCUCAGGAUGAACGCUAGCUACAGGCUUAACACAUGCAAGUCGAGGGGCAGCAUGGACCCAGCUUUGCUGGGUUUGAUGGCGACCGGCGCACGGGUGAGUAACGCGUAUCCAACCUGCCCUUUACUCCGGGAUAGUCUCCUGGAAGGGAGUUUAAUACCGGAUGUGUUUGUCUUUCCGCAUGGGAGCGACAAAAUAAAAGNUAAUUGGUAAAGGAUGGGGAUGCGUCCCAUUAGCUUGUUGGG